UGAAAGCUGAGAAUUCUGCAUUGAAGAGUAGUUUCUGAGGGAAGCAAACCCAAAGUCAUAUUUCCAACAGUCAACACCCACCGCCACCAAACGCCACCGUUUCAUUCACAACACAGCCACUCCAUGGGUGCAGCGCCGUCCACACCGGACACGGCGGAGCAUCUCGUCGGAACCUUCGUCGGCGACGACCCCGUCCCCCUCUCCUCUGACUUCUGGCAGAAGCUUCUCGAGCUUCCUUUCGACGCCGAAUUGCCCUCUCAACGCCUUCACCAAGCUUGCCAGUUAUUGGUGAAAAACAACCGAAACACAAGGCAUCUUGCCAAGAUUUUGUUCCAUCUAGCAUGCUACUUGCAGGAGUCCAUGUCCACGUCUGGUGGACCACCGUUGGUUUAUGAAAAGGCUGUUAAUGCGGUUUACAUCACUUCAGUAUUCCUAAAGCACUUGAUUGAAAGUACCCAAGAUGGUGAUGUCAAGCUGUACCUUUCUCUCCAUGAUAGCGAAUCAAUACCAAUAAAUAUUUUGGGAGAUCAGACCAUUGAAAAUCUUGUAAUGCGGAAUGUGCUUAAAUUUAUUGCGACUGUAGAUGUGAGUCCCGACACAUAUUUCCUACAUCUGGAGCUGCUGAAUUUUAUGAUUUUUGCAAUGUCAACUCAGCUUCUUUGUGGGCCAUCCCGUGGACUGAAUGAUGUGAACCCAUUUCUUGAUGCAGCAAUGGCUCAGGAUGGCCAUCUGGUUAGUUCAGUUGUGUGCAAACUACUUUUAAAUUACAUUACCCGUCCUCGUGUUCCUUUUAAUAGAGCAUCUUAUUCCAUCUUUUAUGAUGGAAAUCAGAAUAGUGUGCUAAAGAGAGUUGGUUCUGCAGCUGCAAAUAUUGUAUUAUUGCCAUUCAGUUAUCUGAUCAGUUCAAGCAGUGAUGCUUCAAGAAGUCCAAUAGCAGAUAGCAGUCUUCAUGUGCUUCUUGUUCUCAUUCAUUAUCAUAAAUGUCUUGUGAGUGAGGGCUACUCUGUCAUGGAGAAUCAAGUAUCCACCACUUCAGAUUCUUUACCCAAAGAGAACACAUAUUUUUCUGACAACCCUUAUUGUAGGGCUUUAGAGCACGCAACUGAUUUGGAUUGUGCAGAUAUAGAGGGCAAUGCACACAGUGACCAACAUGUAAAGUUGCCUUUUGCACUGUUAUUUGAUACCCUUGGCAUGUGCUUAGCUGAUGAGACAGCUGUCCUACUUCUUUACUCAUUGUUGCAAGGGAAUUCCAACUUCUUGGAAUAUGUCUUGGUCCGAACUGAUUUGGAUACAUUGUUAUUACCCAUUCUAGAAGCACUAUAUGAUGCUCGAAGGAGGACAGCUAAUCAAAUUUACAUGUUGUUGAUUAUACUUCUCAUACUUAGUCAAGAUUCUUCUUUCAAUGCUGGCAUUCACAAGCUGAGUUUUCCAACUGUUCCAUGGUACAAGGAACGUCUCCUCCUUCAAUCUUCUCUUGGUUCCCUCAUGAUUAUUAUUCUUAUCAGAACCAUACAGUAUAAUUUGUCUAAUCUCCGGGAUGUAUAUCUUCAUACAACAUGUCUAGCAACAUUGGCAAACAUGGCACCACAUGUCCACCAUUUGAGUGCAUAUGCAUCUCAGAGACUAGUCAGCCUCUUCCACAUGCUCUCCCGGAAGUAUAAAAAAUUAGCAGAUCUCAGAGAUAAUAAGCUCAAUAUUGCAGAAACCAACUCAAUUGAAAGAAGUAGCCUUGUAGAAGAUAUGUCAGCAGAAUUGCACAUAUAUACCGACUUCUUGAGGCUUGUACUAGAAAUUAUAAAUGCUAUUCUGACUUAUGCACUGCCUCGAAAUCCUGAGGUGGUGUAUGCAAUAAUGCACAAGCAGGAAGUUUUUCAGCCUUUCAAGAACCACCCCCAAUUUAAUGAGCAUGUUGAAAACAUCUAUACUGUGUUAGAUUUUUUUAACAGUCGCAUGGAUGCCCAAAGAAUGGAUGGUGAUUGGUCAGUCAAUGAAGUGUUCCAAGUGAUAAUUGUGAACUGUCGGUCUUGGCGUGUUGAUGGGAUGAAGAUAUUUACUCAACUGCACUUCACAUAUGAACAAGAGAGUCACCCGGAGGAGUUCUUUAUCCCAUAUGUCUGGCAGCUAGUAUUAUCCAGAUGGUACGGUUCCUGGAGAUUCUUAUCCACUUGCCACAUGGUGAUUUGUAAACUGUUCUGCUCUUAUAGUUUGACCUUUGUUGGUCUUAAUGCAUGUGCUUUCCACUUCUAAACUGAAUGGGAUUGUUACCAAGGUCCAAUCCUUGGAAAAUCAUUAUUAGAUGUUGAGAUACCCUCACGGGGGUUUAUUAAUUUCAUCAUCUUUCUUUAGUUGGAUUCAAAUUCGACGCAGGAGCUAUAAAAUUGUUUCCAGCUUAUCUACCUACCGAAAAAAUUGACAAUGGGGUGGUGGGAAAUACACUCCAAAAUGCUGACUCGUUGUCGAGGUGAAUACAGAACGUGGCCGUCACGUACUCCAAUUAUGUUGUUGAAUAUGUGUACAGAUAAAAUAGUUGCAAAAAUGUAAUGUUCUCAUUCUUUUAUGUUCAUAAAUUUUCGAGUGUAAUGUUUCAUUCCCGGAGAUGAAAACUGAGUUGAGCUAUCCAUGGCAUCAAUAAAGAUAUUUGGCAUAUAAAUUGCUAAUACAUGGAACAAAAUGAGUAGACACAAA